UAGGGAAUCUUCGGCAAUGGACGGAAGUUUGACCGAGCAACGCCACGUGAGUGAAGAAGGUUUUCGGAUCGUAAAGCUCUGUUGUAAGAGAAGAACGAGUGUGAGAGUGGAAAGUCCACACUGUGACGGUAUCUUACCAGAAAGGGACGGCUAACUACGUGUCAGCAGCCGNGGUAAUACGUAGGUCCCGAGCGUUGUCCGGAUUUAUUGGGCGUAAAGCGAGCGCAGGCGGUUAGAUAAGUCUGAAGUUAAAGGCUGUGGCUUAACCAUAGUAGGCUUUGGAAACUGUUUAACUUGAGUGCAAGAGGGGAGAGUGGAAUUCCAUGUGUAGCGGUGAAAUGCGUAGAUAUAUGGAGGAACACCGGUGGCGAAAGCGGGCUCUCUGGCUUGUAACUGACGCUGAGGCUCGAAAGCGUGGGGGAGCAAACAGGAUUAGAUACCCUGGUAGUCCACGCUGUAAACGAUGAGUGCUAGGUGUUAGACCCUUUCCGGGGUUUAGUGCCGUAGCUAACGCAUUAAGCACUCCGCCUGGGGAGUACGACCGCAAGGUG
rnacentral:rRNA from 1 species